rnacentral:sRNA from 1 species
AAAAAUACACAAAAAAA